rnacentral:piRNA from 1 species
GCAGCCGAAGGGAAUUCUCCCCUGUUUCUGC